CCCAGAUAAGUGAGAGGAUCAUGUCAUAGCGUAGUGAGAAAGCUAAAAGCAUGGAAUAGCGCUAAACAAAAACAAUUGUUUUUGAGAUCUGAGUGUGACAGACGGACAUUUUGCUUAAACCUAAUAGCGGUUUUUCCCCUUACGACGUAGCUAAAAAUGUUUUAAUAAAAUCAGAGAUUCAAUACAUAAUGAGCAUCGACCUGCUGUCCAAUGUCAAAAAACGCAAACUAGAACUUUCUGGCCAUAUCACAAGGUCUUCAGGGAUUGCAUAGCUCUUCCUUCAGGGAACAGUAUCAGGAAAAAGAUGAGGCAGCCAGAGAAAGCAAUGGGAAGACAGUAUAAAAGAAACAGGCUUGUCGUUGAAAGAAAUUUUAUUCAAGCCAAAAGACAGAUGGUCACAGUUCAACAAACUAUGGGAGAAGUGAAAAUGAUACACAUUGAAGCAUUAUUGUUAGACUCUUGCAUAAUAUUGACUAUUUUAAUCAUUUAAUAAUUUGUUUGAAAAUAAAAAAGUAAAUAACAAAGA